rnacentral:rRNA from 1 species
GACGAACGCUGGCGGCGUGCCUAAUACAUGCAAGUUGAGCUAUGAAGAUUGGUGCUUGCACCAAUUUGCAGAGCAGCGAACGGGUGAGUAACGCGUGGGGAAUCUGCCUUUGAGCGGGGGACAACAUUUGGAAACUAAUGCUAAUACCGCAUAACAACUUUAAACAUAAGUUUUAAGUUUGAAAGAUGCAAUUGCAUCACUCAAAGAUGAUCCCGCGUUGUAUUAGCUAGUUGGUGAGGUAAAGGCUCACCAAGGCGAUGAUACAUAGCCGACCUGAGAGGGUGAUCGGCCACAUUGGGACUGAGACACGGCCCAAACGCCUACGGGAGGCAGCAGUAGGGAAUCUUCGGCAAUGGACGAAAGUCUGACCGAGCAACGCCGCGUGAGUGAAGAAGGUUUUCGGAUCGUAAAACUCUGUUGGUAGAGAAGAACGUUGGUGAGAGUGGAAAGCUCAUCAAGUGACGGUAACUACCCAGAAAGGGACGGCUAACUACGUG